rnacentral:rRNA from 1 species
CGGUGCCAGCAGCCGCGGUAAUCCAGNUCCAAUAGCGUAUAUUAAAGUUGUUGCAGUUAAAAAGCUCGUAGUUGAAUUUCGGGACCAUCAUGUCGGUCGUGCCUCGGUACGUACUGGCAUCGUCGGUUUCUCCCUUCUGACGAACCAUGAUGUCAUUAAUUUGGUGUCUUGGGGAAUCAGGACUGUUACUUUGAAAAAAUUAGAGUGUUUAAAGCAGGCUCACGCUUGAAUACAUUAGCAUGGAAUAAUGAAAUAGGACGUUUGAUUCUAUUUUAGUUGGUUUCUAGGGAUCGACGUAAUGAUUAAUAGGGAUAGUUGGGGGCAUUAGUAUUCAAUUGUCAGAGGUGAAAUUCUUGGAUUUAUUGAAGACUAACUACUGCGAAAGCAUUUGCCAAGGAUGUUUUCAUUAAUCAAGAACGAAAGUUAGGGGGAUCGAAGACGAUCAGAUACCGUCGUAGUCUUAACCAUAAACUAUGCCGACUAGGGAUCGGAUGAUGUUAAUUUUUUAAUGACUCAUUCGACGCCUUACG